rnacentral:snRNA from 1 species
GUGCUCACUUUGGCAGCACAUAUACUUAAAUUGGAAUGAUACAAAGAAGAUUAGCAUGGCCC